rnacentral:tRNA from 1 species
GCCGAGCUGGUGGAAUUGGUAGACACAAGGGACUUAAAAUCCCUCGACAGCUUAAACCGUCGUGCCGGUUCGAUUCCGGUGCUAGGCA